rnacentral:rRNA from 1 species
UACGGGGGGAGCAAGCGUUGUUCGGAUUUACUGGGCGUAAAGGGCGCGUAGGCGGCCUGUGCAAGUCAGUUGUGAAAUCUCCGAGCUUAACUCGGAAAGGUCAACUGAUACUGCUCGGCUAGAGUGCGGAAGAGGCAACUGGAAUUCUUGGUGUAGCGGUGAAAUGCGUAGAUAUCAAGAGGAACACCUGCGGCGAAGGCGGGUUGCUGGGCCGACACUGACGCUGAUGCGCGAAAGCUAGGGGAGCGAACGGG